AUCUCAUUUUUAUGAACAGGAUUGUGCACGUAUUUGGGUAUGCUGUUUUUGAAAAAUUCGAAUUACGGGCANGAGCUUGCUCCUACUCCGCCACGGGUUGAUCCGGUAUUGCAGUACCACCGGAAACAGCCCAAUAUCC